UACAGAGGUCUCAAGCGUUGUUCGGAUUCAUUGGGCGUAAAGGGUGCGUAGGUGGCGCCGUAAGUCGGAUGUGAAAUUUCGGAGCUUAACUCCGAAACUGCAUUCGAUACUGCGGUGCUUGAGGACUGGAGAGGAGACUGGAAUUCAUGGUGUAGCAGUGAAAUGCGUAGAGAUCAUGAGGAAGACCAGUGGCGAAGGCGACUCUUUGGCCUGUAACUGACGCUGAGGCGCGAAAGCGUGGGGAGCAAACAGG
rnacentral:rRNA from 1 species